CACAAGGGGACUGAGACACGGCCCUUACUCCUACGGGAGGCAGCAGUGGGGAAUAUUGGACAAUGGACCGGGAGUCUGAUCCAGCAAUUCUGUGUGCACGAUGAAGUUUUUCGGAAUGUAAAGUGCUUUCAGUUGGGAAGAAAUAAAUGACGGUACCAACAGAAGAAGUGACGGCUAAAUACGUGCCAGCAGCCGCGGUAAUACGUAUGUCACGAGCGUUAUCCGGAUUUAUUGGGCGUAAAGCGCGUCUAGGUGGUUAUAUAAGUCUGAUGUGAAAAUGCAGGGCUCAACUCUGUAUUGCGUUGGAAACUGUAUAACUAGAGUACUGGAGAGGUAAGCGGAACUACAAGUGUAGAGGUGAAAUUCGUAGAUAUUUGUAGGAAUGCCGAUGGGGAAGCCAGCUUACUGGACAGAUACUGACGCUGAAGCGCGAAAGCGUGGGUAGCAAACAGGAUUAGAUACCCUGGUAGUCCACGCUGUAAACGAUGAUUACUAGGUGUUGGGGGUCGAACCUCAGCGCCCAAGCAAACGCGAUAAGUAAUCCGCCUGGGGAGUACGUACGCAAGUAUGAAACUCAAAGGAAUUGACGGG
rnacentral:rRNA from 1 species